rnacentral:rRNA from 2 species
UUAUCGGAGAGUUUGAUCCUGGCUCAGGACGAACGCUGGCGGCGUGCCUAAUACAUGCAAGUCGAGCGGACAGAUGGGAGCUUGCUCCCUGAUGUUAGCGGCGGACGGGUGAGUAACACGUGGGUAACCUGCCUGUAAGACUG